UACGUAGGGUGCGAGCGUUAAUCGGAAUUACUGGGCGUAAAGCGUGCGCAGGCGGUCUGUUAAGACAGGUGUGAAAGCCCCGAGCUUAACUUGGGAAUUGCGCUUGUGACUGGCGUGCUGGAGUGUGGCAGAGGGAGGUGGAAUUCCACGUGUAGCAGUGAAAUGCGUAGAGAUGUGGAGGAACACCGAUGGCGAAGGCAGCCUCCUGGGCCAGCACUGACGCUCAUGCACGAAAGCGUGGGGAGCAAACAGG
rnacentral:rRNA from 1 species